GACGAAGGGGGCUAGCGUUGUUCGGAAUUACUGGGCGUAAAGCGCGUGUAGGCGGUUAUCCAAGUCGGGUGUGAAAGCCUUGAGCUCAACUCAAGAAAUGCACUCGGUACUGGGUGACUAGAGGACCGGAGAGGAUAGUGGAAUUCCCAGUGUAGUGGUGAAAUACGUAGAGAUUGGGAAGAACACCAGUGGCGAAGGCGGCUAUCUGGACGGUUUCUGACGCUAAGACGCGAAGGCGUGGGGAGCAAACAGG
rnacentral:rRNA from 1 species